AGGGGUAUAGUACAACGGUUAGUAUGUGGGUCUCCAAAACCCGAGAUCGUGGUUCGAUUCCACGUACCCCUGCCA
rnacentral:tRNA from 1 species